rnacentral:rRNA from 1 species
GACGAACGCUGGCGGCGUGCUUAACACAUGCCAGUCGAACGAAGAGCGAUGGAAGCUUGCUUCUAUCAAUCUUAGUGGCGAACGGGUGAGUAACGCGUAAUCAACCUGCCCUUCAGAGGGGGACAACAGUUGGAAACGACUGCUAAUACCGCAUACGAUCUAAUCUCGGCAUCGAGGAUAGAUGAAAGGUGGCCUCUACAUGUAAGCUAUCACUGAAGGAGGGGGUUGCGUCUGAUUAGCUAGUUGGAGGGGUAACGGCCCACCAAGGCGAUGAUCAGUAGCCGGUCUGAGAGGAUGAACGGCCACAUUGGGACUGAGACACGGCCCAGACUCCUACGGGAGGCAGCAGUGGGGAAUCUUCCGCAAUGGACGAAAGUCUGACGGAGCAACGCCGCGUGAGUGAUGACGGCCUUCGGGUUGUAAAGCUCUGUUAAUCGGGACGAAAGGCCUUCUUGCGAAUAGUGAGAAGGAUUGACGGUACCGGAAUAGAAAGCCACGGCUAACUACGUG